GCCAAGAAGUGGGUCCGCGGCCAGGAGGGGCCCAGCGGGAGCGGCCGAGGACGCACGAGAAGAGGGCUUUCUGCUGGAUUUGCAAGAAGAGCAGAAAGUUCCUGAAAGCGUUUCUGUGGCCGAGGGAAAGGAUGCAACCAAGAAAACGACCACCACGUCUUUCCCCUCUAAGCUCCCGCGUUCCCUGGGAAAGGAAGGCCCGCCGGCUCCAGCGGGUGCGGUCGGAUCCCCGGUACCGCGGCUGACCUCCUCCCAACGAGGGGCGCUGGUCCCCGUGACCUGGACACGCGAGCAAACCACGGGCUGAAAGAAUUCCUGCUCUGGGGUAAGCUGCGGGGAAGCAGCUCAGCUGCCACGGUCGUGGAGGCCGGGCCAAAGCGACACGGGGGAACCCACAGAGGACCUGGCAGACGUCCCUUUGCAAAGCAGCACUUGAACCCAAAGAUGCCGACAUGCCAUUGUGACGUUCAUCUUAGUGAAAAGGACAUUUAUGACCUCUCCUACGCUGUGUAUGUGGGGAAAGCUGCGUGUGACUUUUCUUCCAACAGAGAAAGUACAGAUAUUUGAUCGCGGCACACGUGCUCCUGUGUCAGUGCCUCUCGAGACAUCCCCGAGCGUUAAAAACCUCCCUUAGACGUCACUCCUGAUGGAUGGUUACCGAACUAGAGAGACUUGGCACAUCUUUUCUUAGUCCUUGGAUUCCGAUUCAAAACUUGCAGCACAAACCAGUUGAUGCUAUGGAUAUAACAGCUGGAGGUAAAAGUACACUUGUCAGCCCCGCAGAAAAAUCAAGAUGGAAAACUGCAAAAGGCAAACCUAAGGGAAGACAGAAGCCCAACAUUCCAGGACUAUUUAGUGGAGAUGUGAACCAGUCUAGGCAUCUCAAGGGCCUGAGUGGUCUCUGCAUUAGAACAUAAGGUGUACAAUUAUGAACAGUGGUCUCCAAGAAUGUAUAUAAGUGUAACUAAUCAUGGAUUCAUUUCUUCUUUUGUUCAUUUAUUCACCAAAUGAAACACACAAAACUGAUUGGUCUGUCAAUAUCCCUACUUCAGCCAAAAUGGCAAGCACCAAGGCAACUGAGAACAAAAGGAUUUUGUGGAAAUGCUUGACCGUGGGAGCCAUACCUUACCAGGCUAUAAGUGGAUAAUUUAAAAAUAAAUUAUAGAACUCUAAACUUUGAAUCA
rnacentral:lncRNA from 12 species